rnacentral:rRNA from 1 species
UACAGAGGUCUCAAGCGUUGUUCGGAUUCAUUGGGCGUAAAGGGUGUGUAGGUGGCGCCGUAAGUCGGGUGUGAAAUUUCGGAGCUUAACUCCGAAACUGCAUUCGAUACUGCGGUGCUUGAGGACUGGAGAGGAGACUGGAAUUCAUGGUGUAGCAGUGAAAUGCGUAGAGAUCAUGAGGAAGACCAGUGGCGAAGGCGGGUCUCUGGACAGUUCCUGACACUGAGGCACGAAAGCUAGGGGAGUAAACAGG